rnacentral:lncRNA from 1 species
GCUCCCCGCCCCGAUGCGGAGAAGCAAGAGGGGGGCAAGGAGGAAGGGCAGGAGAAAGACGAGAAGGAGCAGGACGGCGAGAAGGGGGAGGAAGAGAAGACAGACAAGAGGGAGAAAGAGGAGGAAGAGGAAGAGGAAGAGGAAGAAGACUCGGCGGCCCUGAUGGAGCGGCUCUGCAAGUUCAUCUACGCCAAGGACCGCACCGACCGCAUCCGCACCUGCGCCAUCCUCUGCCACAUCUACCACCACGCGCUGCACUCGCGCUGGUUCCAGGCCCGCGACCUCAUGCUCAUGUCCCACCUCCAGGACAACAUCCACCACGCCGACCCCCCCGUGCAGGUGGGGCCCGCUUGUGGGGCGCUGUGGGGCGAUAACGGGGUGGUACGGGGUCCCUAUGGGGCUCUAUGGGGUCCCUGUGGGGCUCCAUGGGGUCUACAGGUCUCUAUGGGGUCCCUAUGGAUCUCUAUGGGGUCUCUGUGGGGCUCUAUGGGGCUCUAUGGGGUCUACAGGUCUCUAUGGAGUCUCUCUGGGCCCCUAUGGGGUCCCUAUGGGGCUCUAUGGGGUCUCUAUGGGGCUCUAUGGGGUCCCUAUGGGGCUCUAUGGGGUCUACAGGUCUCUAUGGGUCACUAUGGGGUCCCUAUGGGGCUCUAUGGGGUCUCUAUGGGGCUCUGUGGGGCUCUAUGGGGUCCCUAUGGGGCUCUAUGGGGUCCCUAUGGGGCUCUAUGAGGUCCCUAUGGGGCUCUGGGGGGGCUAUGUGUGGCCACAAGGGGUCCCUAUGGGGCUCUAUGGUGUCUGCAGGUCUCUAUGGGUCACUAUGGGGUCGCUAUGGGGUCCCUAUGGGGUCUGUGGGGCUCUAUGGGGUCCCUAUGGGGCUCGAUGGGGCUCUAUGGGGUCCCUAUGGGGCUCUAGGGGGUCUCUAUGGGGCUCUAGGGGGUCUACAGGACUCUAUGGGUCACUAUGGGGUCCCUAUGGGCCACUAUGGGGUCCCUAUGGGCCACUAUGGGGUCCCUGUGGGGCGCUAUGGGGUCCCUAUGGGGUCCCUAAGGGGCUCUAUGGGGUCCCUAAGGGGCUCUAUGGGGUCCCUAUGGGGCUCUAUGGGGUCUCUGUGGGGCUCUAUGGGUUCUACAGGUCUGUAUAGGUCACUAU